rnacentral:rRNA from 1 species
CUACGGGGCGCUCCAGUGGGGAAUAUUGGGCAAUGGGCGCAAGCCUGACCCAGCAACGCCGCGUGAGGGAAGAAGGUUUUCGGAUUGUAAACCUCUGUCCUUGGGGACGAAGAAGUGACGGUACCCAAGGAGGAAGCUCCGGCUAACUACGUGCCAGCAGCCGCGGUAAUACGUAGGGAGCAAGCGUUGUCCGGAAUUACUGGGCGUAAAGGGUGCGUAGGCGGCAUAUUAAGUCAGGUGUGAAAUACUCGGGCUCAACCCGGGGGCUGCAUUUGAAACUGAUAUGCUUGAGGUGUGAGAGAGGAAAGUGGAAUUCCUAGUGUAGCGGUGGAAUGCGUAGAUAUUAGGAGGAACACCAGUGGCGAAGGCGACUUUCUGGCUCAUAACUGACGCUGAGGCACGAAAGCGUGGGGAGCAAACAGGAUUAGAUACCCCGGUAGUC